rnacentral:rRNA from 1 species
UCGAACGAAACUUCUUUAUCACCGAGUGCUUGCACUCACCGAUAAAGAGUUGAGUGGCGAACGGGUGAGUAACACGUGGGCAACCUGCCCAAAAGAGGGGGAUAACACUUGGAAACAGGUGCUAAUACCGCAUAACCAUAGUUACCGCAUGGUAACUAUGUAAAAGGUGGCUAUACUACCGCUUUUGGAUGGGCCCGCGGCGCAUUAGCUAGUUGGUAGGGUAAAGGCUUACCAAGGCAAUGAUGCGUAGCCGAAUUGAGAGGUUGAUCGGCCACAUUGGGACUGAGACACGGCCCAAACUCCUACGGGAGGCAGCAGUAGGGAAUCUUCCACAAUGGGCGAAAGCCUGAUGGAGCAACGCCGCGUGGGUGAAGAAGGUCUUCGGAUCGUAAAACCCUGUUGUUAGAGAAGAAAGUGCGUGAGAGUAACUGUUCACGUUUCGACGGUAUCUAACCAGAAAGCCACGGCUAACUACGUGCCAGCAGCCGCGGUAAUACGUAGGUGGCAAGCGUUGUCCGGAUUUAUUGGGCGUAAAGCGAGUGCAGGCGGUUCAAUAAGUCUGAUGUGAAAGCCUUCGGCUCAACCGGAGAAUUGCAUCAGAAACUGUUGAACUUGAGUGCAGAAGAGGAGAGUGGAACUCCAUGUGUAGCGGUGAAAUGCGUAGAUAUUAGGAGGAACACCAGUGGCGAAGGCGGCUUACUGGACAGUAACUGACGUUGA